GGCAGAGGAAGCCCGGUUCCCGUGGGCGCGGCGACGCCGCGCCCAUGAGGAAAGUCCCCCCACCCUCCGGGCAGGUGACCGGACGCAAGUCCGGGGCGGGAGACCGCCGGCGCUGGAACAGAAACGGAACCCCCCGCCCCGACCGAUGAGGCGCGUUCGGCCGUGCAAACGGCCGACGGCGUUCGCGGGAUCGCCCGCGAACGCGCGAACCGACCCGCAAGGGAAGGGAGUUAACCCGCCGAGGGCCGGGCGGUCGUCACCGACGGCCGCCACGCGCGAACGGCGUGAGCCGCGAGCCGACGGGCGGGAACGGAUGGAACGGCGAAUCCUCACCGGUGCAAGUCCGCCGCAAUUGGUAGCCCGGAGGCGCGGCGGACGCUCAGCCGAAUGCCGGGCCGAACAGAAGGGGGCUUACUCUCCUCAGCC
rnacentral:RNase_P_RNA from 2 species